UCCGUAGGUGAACCUGCGGAAGGAUCAUUAACGAGUCUUGAAAGCGGGGGAGGUCUGUUGCUGGCGUGCUUAAGCACGUAUGUGCACGGCCCCCCUCGUACUCAAUCCACUCAACAACCCCUGUGCACUAUAUGGGAGGUAGUAGUUGGCGGUUAUCCGUUUUAUUAGUUAGUAGUCGUAAGGCGAACACUUACUUGUAUUUGCGGAUUUGUUGUCGGCGAACACUUCAAUAUACACAAACCCAUUCUAUUGUUAUGUUGAAUGUAUAGCUCCUUGUGGGCGAAAUCUAAUACAACUUUCAACAACGGAUCUCUUGGUUCUCGCAUCGAUGAAGAACGCAGCGAAAUGCGAUAAGUAAUGUGAAUUGCAGAAUUCAGUGAAUCAUCGAAUCUUUGAACGCACCUUGCGCCCCUUGGUAUUCCGAGGGGCAUGCCUGUUUGAGUGUCAUGUUCAUAUCAAUUUCCUUGUUUUCCUUGUGGUUAACUUGGAUAUUGGACUUGGAGGUUAUUGCUGGCCCCCCGGUUGUGUGUGGUGGUCGGCUCCUCUUAAAUACAUUAGCUGGGCUUUGGCUCGCGUUGACGGUGUAAUAGUAAAUAUAAUAAGACAUUCACCUUUGCGCUUGCCUAGAGGGUCUGCUUCUAAUUGUCUUCGGACAAAGACAUUAUUGUCUUUCUUGACUCCUUGACCUCAAAUCAGGUAGGACUACCCGCUGAACUUAAGCAU
rnacentral:rRNA from 1 species